rnacentral:rRNA from 1 species
AGAGUUUGAUCAUGGCUCAGGACGAACGCUGGCGGCGUGCUUAAGACAUGCAAGUCGAACGGAGAAACUAGAAAGCUUGCUUUUGAAAUUUCUUAGUGGCGGACGGGUGAGUAACGCGUGAGCAACCUGCCUUACACAUCGGGACAACAGCUGGAAACGGCUGCUAAUACCGGAUAUGACCACAGCUGGGCAUCCAGCAGGGGUGAAAGGGUUUACUGGUGUAAGAUGGGCUCGCGUCUGAUUAGCUUGUUGGUGGGGUAACGGCCUACCAAGGCGACGAUCAGUAGCCGGCCUGAGAGGGUGAUCGGCCACAUUGGGACUGAGACACGGCCCAAACUCCUACGGGAGGCAGCAGUCGGGAAUAUUGGACAAUGGAGGAAACUCUGAUCCAGCAACGCCGCGUGAAGGAUGAAGGUCUUCGGAUUGUAAACUUCUGUUCUAAGGGAAGAAACAAAUGACGGUACCUUAGGAGCAAGCCCCGGGCUAACUACGUGCCAGCAGCCGCGGUGAUACGUAGGGGGGCAACCGUUGUCCGGAAUGCCUGGGCGUAAAGGGUGUGUAGGCGGCUUGUUAAGUAAAAUGGAAAUCCCGGGGCUUAACCCCGGACUGCUUUUUAAAU